UGCAAAAGGGUAUGUAGUGCUAGCCGAAU
rnacentral:piRNA from 1 species